UGCCCAGCAACUCCUAUCCCUAUCUCCUCGUGGUACUGGCCGGGGUACGAGUAACCUUAGGGAAGAUCGGGUAACAAAUCCCGGUGGGAGCUUUGGUCGUAUGCUGACAGGGAAGG
rnacentral:ribozyme from 1 species